rnacentral:lncRNA from 10 species
AGCUUCCGCCUGCUACGGUCCUGGCAAGCACCUCGGGAUCCCAUUCCUUCACAGGGACCCUAGCCAGCUGAGGCCUCCGAAACCUUCCCUAGCUGGAUUUGGGGACAGAGGAGCGCUGUUAAAGCUGAUACAUUCCUGUGGGUCAACUAUGCAACUAACUCAGAUUUUGAGCAAACAAAGCUCUCAAGUUGGUGAUCCUCAGGAGUCUCUGCAUUAGUUGGACAGCUCUUCUGGAAUUAUCUUCUAAGUCAACUGUGGGUUGGGUAGGUGGCUCUGCUGAUUUUUCGCUGGACUUCCACAUUUGGGACGAGUUGGCUGUCAUCAGCUCUAGAAAGGGUGUGGCCGUUUUACAUUGGCUGUUUUCCUCACAUUCCUCAAGCAGGUACUGUAAUAAAGAACUGGAGAAAUACAGUCAGAUGGGAAGUAGCCCUUGCUGUCAAGGAGCUUGCCAUCUAAUGGGGGAGACAGGCAAGUAAACCAAAGACUACACAGUGCAGUAUGGUAAGUGCCAUGAUUUUGAUGUGACAGGGCACAGUGGACGACCUUCCAAAUCAAAGCAAGUAACUAGGGGUUGACAAUGGUAAGUAUCAUAGUUGAAGUAUCCUUGAACAAGGUUUCAGGAAGAAGAAGAAGGGAAUUUCAUGCAGGGAAACAGCCAAAGCUCAGUGAGUCAAAAUAUCACAGCAUUCUUGGUAAGCCCAAUUGUUUUUUCUGUUUUGCUAUUUUGGUGGAGAGAAAGGAA